rnacentral:rRNA from 1 species
GACGAACGCUGGCGGCGUGCCUAAUACAUGCAAGUCGAACGAGAGCAACCGGUGCUUGCACUGGUCAAUCUAGUGGCGAACGGGUGAGUAACACGUGGGUAACCUGCCUAUCAGAGGGGGAUAACAUCCGGAAACGGAUGCUAAAACCGCAUAGGUCUUCGAACCGCAUGGUUUGAAGAGGAAAAGAGGCGCAAGCUUCUGCUGAUGGAUGGACCCGCGGUGCAUUAGCUAGUUGGUGAGGUAACGGCUCACCAAGGCCGUGAUGCAUAGCCGACCUGAGAGGGUGAUCGGCCACAUUGGAACUGAGACACGGCCCAAACUCCUACGGGAGGCAGCAGUAGGGAAUCUUCCGCAAUGGACGCAAGUCUGACGGAGCAACGCCGCGUGAGUGAAGAAGGUGUUCGGAUCGUAAAACUCUGUUGUUAGAGAAGAACAAGUGCUAGAGUAACUGUUAGCGCCUUGACGGUAGCUAACCAGAAAGCCACGGCUAACUACGUG